rnacentral:rRNA from 1 species
GAAUUUUAUAUCGUUUUAUUAUAUGAUAUAUAUAUAUUUAUAAAUUUAUUAAUAAUAAGUUAGAUAUUUAAUUGGGAGGAUUGUUAAAUUAAAAGAACUUUAAUUAGAAUAAAAUAUAAAUUAAUAGAUUAAAGAGUGGCUUUUAAGUUAAAAAAGAAUUAAUUACCUUAGGGAUAACAGCGUAAUAUUUUUAGAGAGUUCUUAUUAAUAAAAAUGAUUGC